AAGUCGUAUUGGGGGAACUUUCUGAUCAACUCCUGGAAUCUAGUCCAGGCUGCACACAAGGUCUCUCCCAGCUGUUGAAUAAAGUUGGUGAUUUCAUUCACCAACUU